rnacentral:rRNA from 1 species
GUGUUAUUCAGUAAUGGAUGCCUUGGUCUGAAAAUCGAUGAAGAGUACAGCGAAAUGUGAUAUGCAUUGUGAACUGCAGACUUCCGUGAGUCAAUGGCUUGUUGAACGUUUGCUGUGCCUUUGGGAUACGCCUGAAGGCGCGCCUGCUUCAGCGUCUGUUCCAGCAUGUGCAUGCCGUGCAACUGUCUUGCUUUAAGUGGCAGCGGUACUGUGGGCCUUUGCAUGUUAC